rnacentral:rRNA from 1 species
CUGGCGGCGUGGAUAAGACAUGCAAGUCGAACGCUACUUAUUUUGUUAGCAUUAACGAAGUAAGUGGAGUGGCGAAAGGGUGCGUAACACGUGGGAAUUUACCAAGAAGUGGGGAAUAGCUCAGCGAAAGCUGAAUUAAUACCGCAUACGAUCGAAAGAUCAAAGCCGGGGACCGCAAGGCCUGGCGCUUUUUGAGAAGCCCGCGGCCCAUCAGCUAGUUGGCGAGGUAAGAGCUCACCAAGGCUAUGACGGGUAGCUGGUCUGAGAGGACGACCAGCCACACUGGAACUGAGACACGGUCAGACACCUACGGGUGGCAGCAGUCGAGAAUUUUUCACAAUGGACGAAAGUCUGAUGGAGCGACGCCGCGUGGAGGAUGAAGGUUUUCGGAUUGUAAACUCCUGUCACUGCAGAACAAGGCUGUGCGUAUGAAUAGUACGUGCAGUUGAUGGUAUGCGGAGAGGAAGGGACGGCUAACUCUGUGCCAGCAGCCGCGGUAAGACAGAGGUCCCGAGCGUUGUUCGGAUUCAUUGGGCGUAAAGGGUGUGUAGGAGGCCAGGUAAGUCAGGUGUGAAAUCUCAGAGCUUAACUCUGAAACUGCGCUUGAUACUGCUUGGCUAGAGGAUCGGAGGGGGUAACGGAAUUUAUGGUGUAGCAGUGAAAUGCGUAGAUAUCAUAAGGAACACCGGUGGCGAAGGCGGUUACCUGGAAGAUUCCUGACUCUGAAACACGAAAGCC